rnacentral:misc_RNA from 1 species
CUUCCGGGACUUCCCGGGUUUCCACUGAAGCACACAGUAGAGGGAAAGAAGAGUUGCACCUGAAGGAUGUGACUCCCCGUCCUCCAGAAGGACAAUCUAAAGCUGGAUGCUACCCUCCUGGUAUAAGGGUCCGUCCUCCGCCGCUCCCACGCAUAUAGCGCUUUUGACAGUACCUGGACCAGCGUCUACUUUAUUAGCAACUGCACUGCACCUUGACCAACACCUACAUCUACUUCAUUACCAGCUGCACGACACCUCGACCAACACCUACAUCUACUUCAUUACCAACUGCACGACACCUCGACCACCACCUACAUCUACUUCAUUACCAACUGCACGACACCUCGACCACCACCUACAUCUACUUCAUUACCAACAGCACGACACCUCGACCACCACCUACAUCUACUUCAUUACCAACUGCACGAUACCUCGACCACCACCUACAUCUACUUCAUUACCAACUGCACGACACCUCGACAAGCACCUACUUCUACAUCAUUACCAACUGCACGACACCUCGACCAACACCUACAUCUACUUCAUUACCAACUGCACGACACCUCGACCAACACCUACAUCUACUUCAUUACCAACUGCACGACACCUCGACCACCACCUACAUCUACUUCAUUACCAACUGCACGACACCUCGACCAACAACUACAUCUACUUCAUUACCAACUGCACGGAACCUUGACCAACACCUACAUCUACUUCAUUACCAACUGCACAACACCUUGACCACCACCUACAUCUACUUCAUUACCAACUGCACGGCACUUUGACCACCACCUACAUCUACUUUAUAAGCAACUGCACGACACCUCGACCAACACCUACAUCUACUUCAUUACCAACUGCACGACACCUCGACCACCACCUACAUUUACUUCAUUACCAACUGCACGACACCUCGACCACCACCUACAUCUACUUUAUUACCAACUGCAGGACACCUCGACCAGCACCUACAUCUACUUCAUUACCAACUGCACGACACCUCGACCACCACCUACAUCUACUUCAUUACCAACUGCACGGAACCUUGACCACCACUUACAUCUACUUCAUUACCAACUGCACAACACCUUGACCACCACCUACAUCUACUUCAUUACCAACUGCACGGCACUUUGACCACCACCUACAUCUACUUUAUAAGCAAAUGCACGACACCUCGACCAACACCUACAUCUACUUCAUUACCAACUGCACGACACCUCGACCAACACCUACAUCUACUUCAUUACCAACUGCACGACACCUUGACCAACACCUACAUCUACUUCAUUACCAACUGCACGACACCUUGACCAGCACCUACAUCUACUUCAUUACCAACUGCACGACACCUCGACCAACACCUACAUCUACUUUAUGAGCAACUGCAGGACACCUCGACCAACACCUACAUCUACUUCAUUACCAACUGCACGACACCUCGACCACCACCUACAUUUACUUCAUUACCAACUGCACGACACCUCGACCACCACCUACAUCUACUUUAUUACCAACUGCACGACACCUCGACCAGCACCUACAUC